GGAGAAUUGGAUGAGUGGCUUAAGUCGCUCCCCUGCUAAGGGAGUGUAUCCGAAAGGGUACCGUUGGUUCGAAUCCAACAUUCUCCG
rnacentral:tRNA from 1 species